rnacentral:lncRNA from 1 species
AUAUAAUUAGGAUAUUUUUUAUUCAUAAUUGAAAUAGAAAUGAGAAUGAAAUCAGAUUACAUUGAAAUGAAAAAUAGAAUGAUGCAUCAUUCAAAAAUAUUUAAUUCAUUAUUCGAAUGAAAGUCAAAAUAUACAUUUAAAAUUUUAAGAGAGAAUAUUGAAAGAGAGAGGAGUGAGAGGUAUUUGUAAGAGAGGCAUAUGAAUUGUUUAUUUUUAAAAUAGACUAAUUAGGAAUUCAAAGUCGAAUUUGGCCGUAAAUAUAUUGAACUAUUUUUUAUUUUAGAGUGGAAUGAGAAAUAUAAUUGAAUUCCUACAAAAUAAAUAAUAAGGGAUAAUUUCAUCAAUACCCAUCUGGACGAUCGUAAUGUCAUGAAUAACCCUCUAAACUAGAAAAUAUCAUCAAUAUCCCUCUUAAAACCAAAAAUAGUCACAAAUACCCUUUAGGUUAACUUUCCGUCAAUAGGUCAUCCAAUAUUUUAUAAAUACCAAUUUUACCCCUAGCAACAAUUUAACCAUGUAAUAUUUAAGAUUAAUUAUAAGAUCAAUUUUUAAUGUUUGAAUCACAUAAUAAUUUAACAGUGUUUUUAAAAUUUUACAAUUAAAGAUCUAUAGUUUAUUAAGUGUGAUAGUUAAAUCUCAUUAUGAUUUUUCACUUUUAAAUUGUAUAUAGUUGUAAUCCAAUUGUCCAUAGUAGAAUUCAACAUUAAUUAUUUAAAGAUUUAUUUUUAAAAAUUUUAUUAAAAUAACUCACAUAUCUCACGCUAAAAAUAUUUUGAUAUCAAAUUUCUUGAUAUUAGAGUAUUACUUAUAUGAUCUGCUUAAACAAAAAUUUUUUAAUUGAUAAUUUAUUGUUAACAAUAAAGUAAAAUUUUAUGAAAACUCUCUCACCUAUAGUCCACUUCGACGUGAUCUUAACUCGAAAAAGCGUGAAAUUUGAUUUUCAGAUAGUUUAAAUGGUUUAGAUCAUGUUUAACGGUGCCGAUUGUCAAUUUGAAAGCUCUAUCAUUGAAAACAAAUGGUAGUAAACCGAGUUGUACUACCGAUAGUAUUAUAGCAAAACUCUCUAUAUAUAUGCCCUCUCAACCUAAGUGUUUUUUUUAAAUUUUAGCAAUUGAGUGUUUUUUUCCAUCAAAAUUAAAAAUUUUAUCAAAUACAUGUGAGGGAUCUUAAUUAAAAAACUUUUAACUAAGUCCAAAUAAAGAAAAACUGAUAGUUCAAGAUCUCUUAAUGUUAAAAAAUAAAACUUAAAGGAGUCUAGUUCAAAAUGAUCUGUAGGUGAGGAGUUUCUUUAUUUUUUACCCACUAAUAAUUAGUGCUAGAUAUGUUAUUUUUAAAAUUUAGAUGGGUACUUAUGAAAUUACCCCUUAAUUAUUUGCGGUCAAAAUAAUACCUAAGCUUUUUAAGGCUAAAUUAGUUAUUUUGUAACUCAACAUUUAUUUAACCAAACUUAACCAUGAUUACAGUAACGGCCGAUGGAAGGAAGAGUAAUUGUAAAAAAUUUUUACAUUUGAAGGGGUAUAUAUGAUAUUUUUAACUUUGCAGGGGUAUUUAUAAUAUUUACAUAUUUGAGAGGGGUAGUGAUGAAAUUGCCCCAAAUAAUAAAUAUCAAAAUUAAUAAAUUUCAUUCUGAUUCCAUAUUCAAAAAUAGAUUAAUCAAACAAACUUUUAGAUAUAAUGUGUUACAGCAAGCGCACAAACAGAACCGAAAAAUGAUGAACAUAAAAUAAAUAAACCACAAACAAAAAUAAAAUAACGUAUAGAUUUACAUGCAAAAUUAUUUGCAGGAAAAAAUCACGAACAAGAAAAAAGAGAACUUUACUAUCGAAAAACGGAAUACAAAAUUUGAAGUACAAACAAUAUCAAUCUGUCGCCUCUAGGGCAAAAAACUCUUAAUCGGCUCGGGCCAUUUGGGCCUAUCGGUCCGAGCCCUCCGCUAUCUAUCACAGACAUUUAUUUUUUUCUUCAUAAAUUUAUUUUCAAAUGUCGCACCGAAAACUGUCGGAGAGUCAAAAUUUUGAACUAAAAUCGAUUAUCAAUUU